rnacentral:lncRNA from 1 species
GUUGGGCCAAGACUUUAGUGAGUACGCAUGGAGUUAGAGAUCCCAUCAUGUGUCCCUCCUACACAGGGAUUCAGGAGCUGAGCCUGGGAGACCAAGAUGCCCCAUCCAACUUCUGCCAGUGAGUUCUAAGACUUUGGACCUCAGGAAGUCCGGGAGGGACCGGCCCCAGGAGCACAAAGGGGUUCAGUUUCCCAGGAAGCCAUCCCUGGUAGCUCCUCAGGGUAUUCUCCCCGCUGCUGCAACUCAGGGGAGCUGCUGGAGGUGGGUAGGUGGGAGGCAGCUUCAAAAGCCUGGGUCCUAGAUGGGGGUGUCACCCUCCAGCUCCCACAGUAAGGUGUUGAGUGUUUGCCAAGUUCCCCUGCGCAUAGUCAGGAAUGUUCGCCCUUUCCCAGGGCAUCCAUUCAUCAGAGGCUUGGGAUCUUUCUCACCAGACCUGGGAACAGUGAACUGGAAGAGAGGCCAGCUUCUCCAAAGUCCCUGAACCUCCCUGCCCCGGGAUCAACAUCAAGAGACAGUGGUUCGCCCCUCACCAUAGAAAGUGACAUGGACCUCACAGCCAAUCUGCUGCCCUCUGGUGGGAUGCACUCCCAUCGGCUCACCUUUCGGACCCCAGUUACUGAGAGCACUCUUGGUCCGCACUUGCCCAAUCCCUCACUUCCUGGGAGCCCCAGUUCACAGGUCCAGGAUAAGGAAGAGGUCAGCUCAUGCCCCUUUGGGUCUAAGGCCCUGAGCCUCACAUCUACUUUACCGUUCAGCUUGGGUACCAGCCGGUCCAUCUUCUUGGAGCCCCGGAAGCCACUGAGGGGAGACCCUGCACCUGAGAAGUACUGGGGUCAGGCACACCCCUGGGCAGGGACUCCCAGUCUGAACCCAAACUCUAGACUAGGUCUUGUUCCUACCACUCUGCCCUGGGUUCGGGAUAAACCCUGGACCUUGCCUGCUGACUCCUCUGUGUUACAGAGGGAGGUACCUGAGACUCCAAGGGCCCCUCCCAUUCCUGUGGAAGUGGUGAUGGGCAAAGAUCCAACAGUAAUAACCCCUGGGGCGCAGGGAGAGCCCUUGGACUUAGGGGCUGAACUCCAGGGAAGGGAGCAGGGAGGGGUAUCCUCAGAGGGACCUGGAGAGGAAGCAGGAGAGGGUGAGGAUAGACCAAUGGACAGUAGGGCCAGUUUAAGUGGGGGAGACUGCAAGACGGACAGUCAAAAGCUAAAACUAGGUCAGGAGUGUUGGGUCAGUUCCCUGAAACCCUCUGUGGAAGAUAGCUAUGGGCGCCAAGUGAGAGAGGCAGGCUGCAUGCUUUUGGAAUGGUUUCGAUGCGUCUUCCUGGACAGUGACAAUCACAGUUUCUCCCUGCUCGACUCUGGCCUGGCCUUGACCACUGGUGGCCUUACCAUGAAUGCUGGCAGCCAGGAACACCCGGCUCUGCGUGUGGCCUUCCUAACUAUGAGGAAUGGCAGGAAGCUAGGCAUGGCAUUCCCUGGUUCCAACCUCUUCUACUACUACUCCCUGGGCCUUAACUUCUUUGUCACUGCUCAGCUCAGCAGCCACUGGUUCCGAGUUCAAGACCGUGUCACUGGUGAGCAGAUGCUGAUGAAGAAGGUGCCUGUGGUCUCCGACUGGCAGAAGAUGCUUCAUCACUUCCUAUUCCUUCCCCCGGGGCCGGGACUUCUGGUACCCUACGCAGUCCUGUAUGACCGCCAGGGCUCUCUGCUCUACCUUAUGGAGGACCCUGGAGUUCUAACUGUGGGGCAGCCACCAGCAGGUCAGCAGCUGGACAGACUGAAGUGCCUCCUGGAGAUUCUCAGCUUCCUGCAAUUCUGCCAACACCACGGCUUGCAGCUUGAGGAAGUGGACUCAGGCCUGCUUUAUACCCACCAGGGAAUCUGUUUUGACCCCAGUGGACUCAGCAGCAAUGAAGGACUUUAUGUUUUCAGAAAGACUUUGAGAAAUGCGCUCCGGCUGGCGUGGAACACCCCACAGGUACCUUUUGGGGCUCUCUCUCACUCCUCUCCCACUCCAACCCUCAUAUGAGAGAUACUGUGGUAUUGGGUAGAAGUCUGGCCUUAGCAUCAGGGAGAUCUAGGUUCAGAACCUGCUAGUGACAUGUCCUGAGGUGACUGAGCCAAUCAGGCCCUUUAGUGUCCCAGGCGACUCUCUGCCACCUCAUGGUCCCCUCUCCUUAGGGCACUGAUGGGGGCAGAAGAGGAGUGGACCCAGAUCUUCUAGGGUGAAGGGAAACGGGGGUGAGUCCUGGCCUUGGUGGGAGCUAGAGACCAACAGUCUCUACAUAUGUGAGCUCUUCUUACUGGGUCUGCUCACCCGGGACAGGAGGACACCCCAGCAGCAGAGGCCCUGUUGGAACAGAUGUGGAGGUGGCUGGAGGAGGACAUCAGGGGCGAUGAAGAGGAUCUGGAGGAGGCCACUACUUCUCUUGACCACCCUGGCAUCCCAUGAACGGAGGCCCCUGCCAGACCUCAGGGAACAGUGGGACACAGCACUUUAUAGCACCAAAGCAUUCUGACCUUCUAAAGUCAGAAUUGUCUCUCCAGAUUGUUUUUCACUGCCCGUUUCACAGAUGGGAGACAACUUACUCUCAGGUCACCCCAGCUGGCCUGGGGCUACCUCCAACACGAGAAACUUAAGCAUCCUGAUUCCCAGCAUACCAAGGACCAGCUCCUGUUUUCUUCCUGAUCUGCCUUAUGGGGGGAGAACUCUGGGUCACUCUCAGGACUUUGCCCAGGGACAUGCUGGCCAUAUUUUACUCUCAAGGAACCCCAGUGCUCACAUGCUGAGUACCCCAGCCCAGACUUCCUCACCUCAGGGUUAAGGUCCUGGGUUCUCCACUCCAGUGACUACCUGCUCCAAGAACUUGGAGGAGGGGGCUGCUUGCCCCACCCCAAGAGGCACAGGUAGUCUGGGAUCUCUUCAGCCUCUCACAGAAGUGCCCACGGAAGGUGGGCCACCAGGGUUUUCCCGAAGAGAAGGGAACAUUCCUGGGGGCCACCAUGGUGCUGUUUUUAUUUGGAAAAUAAAUUCCCAAGGAAAACACUGCCCCUCUUGUUC